rnacentral:lncRNA from 1 species
GAAAAGUAUAUUUUUUCAUUUUUUCGGCAACAAGGGAAAACUUUGGCACCUAUAACUACCCAAAAACACAUCAUGACAUUUAAAAAAGAUAAUAUGCAAUAACAAACCAAAUAAAUUCAGUUGUUCAAUAAUCCUAAAAUUUAAUCUUGGUGCUUAACAAUCCAAUAGAAGAGAUAAAACAUGAUAAAACCAGAAAUAAUACAGGGAUAUAAGAGUACCAAAUCAGUUGUUUAUUUCAUUCGUGCCUCCCAUAACAUCAUCUGCGGCAGAAGAAGAAGCAACACCUAAGACAUCAAACAUGUAAUUUCAUAAGAAAAGGCAUAAACAUAGUGAAAUAAUAAUGAAUAAUUAAAAUCUAAAACUUACCUCUAUGAGGAGGUAGAAGCCCUCUGCGAUCCCUAUAGGCUUGAGAAAUAUCUUAUCUUCUAUUUUCUGAAGUAUGAAAUGAAUUGACAUAAAAAAGCUUCAGUUUCAAAUCGAUUAUACAUACUAUAUAAUUAGGCAGGAACGAUGACUGAAUAGUUGAGGGUCAGUUAAACUUUCUUCAUAUCAUACACAGACAUGGGCUAUACAUCAAUUAAAUUGUAGUCCGGAGUCGGGGAGUGGCCAGAGUAGAGUGGCGGCGCGGAGACGGGGAAUCCGGAUUCAGGCAAUGGCCGGAUUAGAGCGGCGGCGUCGCCUGGCUAGAGCAACAGUGGCAGACAGGCAAUCCACAGUCUUGAGCAGCGGGGAGCAGCCGAGCAGGGGAUUGAGGAAGAGCGACGGCCCCGGGCUAUGUCAGGGAGACAAGCGGGAAGGAGCGAGGCAGUCCCUGGGACUGGACGGGGCGUGGGGGAAGUCGCCGGCGGCCAGGCGGUGGCGCGGCGAACAUGAGGGGAGGCGGCUGUCGCGGUCGCUCCGCUCUGACUCGCGUGCGUGCGUGUGAGUGCGAACUGCGGUGCCU